rnacentral:tRNA from 1 species
UAGCUUAGUCGGUAAAGAAUCUGCCUGCAAUGCAGGAGACCCAGGUUCAAUUCCUGA